AACGAACGCUGGCGGCAUGCCUAACACAUGCAAGUCGAACGAGACCUUCGGGUCUAGUGGCGCACUGGUGCGUAACGCGUUGGAACCUGCCUUUAGGUUCGGCAUAACUCAGAGAAAUUUGAGCUAAUACCGGAUGUUGUCUUCGUACCAAAGAUUUAUCGCCUUUAGAUGGGCCUACGUUGGAUUAGUUUGUUGUUGGGGUAAAUGCCUACCAAGGCGACGAUCCGUAGCUGGUCUGAGAGGAUGAUCAGCCACACUGGAAGUGAGACACGGCCCAGAAGCCGAAGGGAGGAAGCAGUGGGGAAUAUUGCACGAUGGGCGAAAGGCUGAUACAGCAAAGGCGCGUGUGUGAAGAAGGUCUUCGGAUUGUAAAGCACUGUAAGUUGGGAGGAAGGGCAGUAAGUUAAUACCUUGCUGUAAUGACGUUACCAACAGAAUAAGCACCGGCUAACUUCGUG
rnacentral:rRNA from 1 species